CGAUCGUUCCUGACUUGGUUUAGCUGUGGAGAUCACGGUAAAGAUGUUCCUGUACAUUAUGUAAUAGGUCACCCUCUGUGGGACUCGCCGACACUCGGAUGAACGGCCAGACGUGUUUGUAUACACAUAUCUUCCAAAGCAACCUAAAGAGGAUGGAUGGAAAAUACGAUCCCAACAGGCAUGAGGUUGGAAAAUUGACAGUCGCGCUUGUCGUCCCACACUCCUGCGAGUCAAGUCAGCUGUGUACUUGCUUUGACACAGCUAUCCUCCUCCAUUCUUCUGUACCGUUUCCUCUCACUGCAGGCGAUUGGUUUGAACCCAGUCCCUGAAGUCCUGCCACAUUUUUUUUCCCCUUGCCAUAAACCUAGUGUUCUUUCAACCUACACGCUUCUGCUGUUUCCACAUGGAACACAACAGAGGGCCGUUUCAGACAGAAAUACAAUUGGAAAUUAUUGAUGGGUAUGCUCAGUCCGUUCACGACACUUCAUGUGGCAUCAUUGGUCAGUUUUUUGGGACAUGCCGCAUACAAUCAUUGGGAAGCUAAAAGUGACUAAUUGUAAGCUCAUAAAAUACAAG